GACGAACCGUGCGAACGUUGUUCGGAAUCACUGGGCUUAAAGGGCGCGUAGGCGGGCUAACAAGUCUGGGGUGAAAUGCCGCGGCUCAACCGUGGAACUGCCUCAGAUACUGUCGGCCUCGAGGAAGGUAGGGGCAUGCGGAACUGUAAGUGGAGCGGUGAAAUGCGUAGAUAUCGUUUGGAACGCCAAUGGUGAAAACAGCUAGCUGGGGAUGUGCCGACGCUGAGACACGAAAGCCAGGGGAGCGAACGGG
rnacentral:rRNA from 1 species